GAUGAACGCUGGCGGCGUGCCUAAUACAUGCAAGUCGAGCGAACGGACGAGAAGCUUGCUUCUCUGAUGUUAGCGGCGGACGGGUGUGUAACACGUGGAUCACCUACCUAUAAGACUGGGAUAACUUCGGAAAACCGUAGCUAAUCGCGGAUAAUAUUUUGAACCGCAUGGUUCAAAAGUGAAAGACGGUCUUGCUGUCACUUAUAGAUGGAUCCGCGCUGCAUUAGCUAGUUGGUAAGGUAACGGCUUACGAAGGCAACGAUGCAUAACCGAGCUGUGAGGGUGUUGCGCCACACUGAGGCUGAGAGGCGGUCCAGGCACCGACGGGAGGCAGAAGCAGGGAAUCGUCCGCAAUGGGCGGAAGCCUGAAGGAUGAGCGGCGCGCGAGUGAUGAAGCGCUGCGGGUCGGAAAACGCUGUUAUGAGUGAAGACCAUAUGUGUAAGUAACUGUGCGCAUCUGGACGGUACCGAUUCAGAAAGCCACGGCUAACUACGU
rnacentral:rRNA from 1 species